rnacentral:rRNA from 1 species
CGCCUUGCCAGCCCGCUCAGAAACUCAAAGGAAUUGACGGGGGCCCGCACAAGCGGUGGAGCAUGUGGUUUAAUUCGAUGAUACGCGAGGAACCUUACCUGGGCUCAAAUGUAUGUUGACGUAUUCUGAAAGGGAUACUUCUUCGGACAAUAUACAAGGUGCUGCAUGGUUGUCGUCAGCUCGUGCCGUGAGGUGUCGGGUUAAGUCCCAUAACGAGCGCAACCCCUACUGCUAGUUGCCAGCGGGUCAUGCCGGGGACUCUAGCGGAACUGCCAGCGUAAGCUGCGAGGAAGGUGGGGAUGACGUCAAAUCAGCACGGCCCUUACGUCCAGGGCUACACACGUGUUACAAUGGCCAGUACAGAGGGCAGCCACCCCGCGAGGGGGCGCUAAUCCUAAAAGCUGGUCCCAGUUCGGAUCGGAGUCUGCAACCCGACUCCGUGAAGCUGGAUUCGCUAGUAAUCGCGCAUCAGCCACGGCGCGGUGAAUACGUUCCCGGGCCUU